UCCCAGCCGUAAACGAUGCAGGCCAGGUGUGUGGGCGUCUUAGAGGCGCUCAUGUGCCGAAGGGAAACCGUUAAGCCUGCCGGCCUGGGGAGUACGGCCGCAAGGCUGAAACUUAAAGGAAUUGGCGGGGGAGCACCACAAGGGGUGGAGCCUGCGGUUCAAUUGGAGUCAACGCCCGGAACCUUACCCGGGGAGACAGCAGGAUGAAGGCCGGGCUGAAGACCCCUGCCAGA
rnacentral:rRNA from 1 species